UACGAAAGGUGCAAGCGUUACUCGGAAUCACUGGGCGUAAAGCGCACGUAGGCGGACUCGCAGGUCAAUUGUGAAAUCCCCGGGCUUAACCUGGGAACUGCAUUGGUGACUGGCAGGCUUUGAGUGUGGCAGAGGGGGGUAGAAUUCCACGUGUAGCAGUGAAAUGCGUAGAGAUGUGGAGGAAUACCGAUGGCGAAGGCAGCCCCCUGGGCCAACACUGACGCUCAUGCACGAAAGCGUGGGGAGCAAACAGG
rnacentral:rRNA from 1 species